rnacentral:rRNA from 1 species
UGGGGAAUAUUGGGCAAUGGGGCGAAAGCCUGACCCAGCAACGCCGCGUGAGGGAAGAAGGGUUUCGGCUCGUAAACCUCUGUCCUAUGGGACGAAGGAAGUGACGGUACCAUAGGAGGAAGCCCCGGCUAACUACGUGCCAGCAGCCGCGGUAAUACGUAGGGGGCGAGCGUUGUCCGGAAUGAUUGGGCGUAAAGGGCGCGUAGGCGGCCCGGUAAGUCUGAAGUGAAAGUCCUGGCUUCAAGUUGGGAAUUGCUUUGGAUACUGUCGGGCUUGAGUGCAGGAGAGGUCAGUGGAAUUCCCAGUGUAGCGGUGAAAUGCGUAGAGAUUGGGAGGAACACCAGUGGCGAAGGCGACUGACUGGACUGUAACUGACGCUGAGGCGCGAAAGUGUGGGGAGCAAACAGGAUUAGAUACCCUGGUA